CUGUUAUCUCCACAGGAGCACUGGUGUUUCAACAUCACUGAAUCAUAGACCAGCCCUGCAGGAAACGGCCAUCAGGGCUGGGAAGCCCUUCUGUGGAGAGCUGGCCGCGUUUCCCUAUGCACAUGCCUAGAUGUCUCAGACAACCUGAUGGACACACCAGGGCAGUGCCAAGCCCAUUUGCUCUGCAGGACCCCUGCCUUCUUGGGCUGGCCACGGUAGAAGGAGACUCAAAGUCCUAUCCUGGCCCAACUGCCGGUUCUGUCCCUUAACCGUAAGUCACUGUCAACUUAGGUUUCCUGAGUCUCGAUGUCCUCACCUACUUCACGGGCACCACAGAGCUCAGACAAGAUUCAAGUAGUGCUCUAUGGUCCCUGGAACUGUCUGAAAGCCGGCUCACAGUCACGGACUCACGCCCCAGCCACUUCCUUCUGCCUCCCUGAGUCCCUUUUUG